CCAGUUGGUUCUUAUAGUAUAUAGAGUGCCUACAACUGUUUUGUUCCUUAAUUAUUUAAGUUGAGACUACAAAACUUCUACUAUAUUGAUUUUAUACAAAAAGUUUUUGAUUUAUUAUUUGAUAUCUAUAUGUUAGUUUGUCUUGUAUCUCUAUUUAUUGAUUAACUUUCUCUUUCAUUGUUUAUUUGGUUACAUUGUUUAUUCUGGUC
rnacentral:lncRNA from 1 species